UCCUAGCAAACAUGCUUACCCUAAUUGCCAAACCCUAAUUCUAAUUUUUUGGCUCCAAAUUAUUCUGACCGUUAGAUAAAUCUAAGUUGAUCUCCACACAAUUCAUCUGUUCCCAAUAAACAUUUUCUUUCAAUACACACUUCACGCCAAUAUUCUCCUCCACUUUCCAAUAUUCACCCACCACUACCUAAGUCUCUUUCCAAUGCCUCCCUCCGUCGUCUCAUCUUCCACUACCGAAGGCACAUCUCCUCCCUCCUCUUGGCCCACCACCGAAGACAACUCCCUGUCUUCAGCCUAAUUUCUUCUUUCCUUCCUUCCUGUUUACCACAAUUUUCUCACUCCUAGGUUUUCUACAACACAAAGCGGCGGAGGUCGGAGCUAGUUGUGAUGAACGGUCUCGCAAUUUAAAAGUUGUUAUCCACCUUCCUCUAAUCCCCCAAUCAUCAUAAAGUGGAAUCAAAUGAAGUUGAAUGGCGGGGCUGAGCAGCAAAAGAGAGGUAAUUGGGUUGAAAACCAGGAAGCGGUUGAGCCGCCAUCUCACCGCAGCCCCAAACGAAUCAAUAGACCACCGUGAAUGAUUUUGAUGACAUAGAAUGGUGCUGCUUGGUUCCAUCAAUCCCCCUAUCAUAUUUUGUUGAUGUGGAUUUGGGGAUAUGCAGCUGGAAGGGUUGGUUCUAUCCAGAAAGUUGCAGAUAGGCUUCGUUGUUACACUUGGUCAUGACUUCUUCAUCUCACUUCAAAAUUGCAAAAACAUUGUUAUUGUGUUAACAUUGACAAGAAAAAUCAAAUGGAUUUUUAGCUGCUCCUCCUCUUUUCUGUGACUAAGUUCAGGAAUUUUCAAAUUCGGGGUUGAAAUAAGAAAGGAGGUUUAUGCGGUGGUGGUUGUUGCAAGAAGGCCCUCGCGGUGAUAAUU
rnacentral:lncRNA from 1 species